rnacentral:rRNA from 1 species
CCGCAAUGGGCGAAAGCCUGACGGAGCAACGCCGCGUGAGUGAUGAAGGUCUUCGGAUCGUAAAACUCUGUUAUUAGGGAAGAACAUAUGUGUAAGUAACUGUGCACAUCUUGACGGUACCUAAUCAGAAAGCCACGGCUAACUACGUGCCAGCAGCCGCGGUAAUACGUAGGUGGCAAGCGUUAUCCGGAAUUAUUGGGCGUAAAGCGCGCGUAGGCGGUUUUUUAAGUCUGAUGUGAAAGCCCACGGCUCAACCGUGGAGGGUCAUUGGAAACUGGAAAACUUGAGUGCAGAAGAGGAAAGUGGAAUUCCAUGUGUAGCGGUGAAAUGCGCAGAGAUAUGGAGGAACACCAGUGGCGAAGGCGACUUUCUGGUCUGUAACUGACGCUGAUGUGCGAAAGCGUGGGGAUCAAACAGGAUUAGAUACCC